AACGAACGCUGGCGGCAUUCCUAACACAUGCAAGUCGAACGAGACCUUCGGGUCUAGUGGCGCACGGGUGCUAAACGCGUGGGAACUUGCCCCUAGGUUCGGAAUAACUUCUCGAAAGGCGUGCUAAUACCGGAUAUUGUCUUCGGACUAAAGAUUUAUCGCCUUUGGAUGGGUCCGCGUUGGCUUGGCUACUUGGUAGGGUCAUCGCCUACCAAGGCGACGAUCCAUCUCUGGUCUGUGAGCAUGCUCACCCACACUGGGACUGAGACACGGCCCACACUCCCCCGCAGGGCAGAGGUCGGGACUAUUGCACAACGGGAGAAACCCUGAGCCAGCAAUGCCGCGUGAGUGAUGAAGGCCUUAGGGUUGUAAAGCUCUAUCACCCGGGAUGAUAAUGACAGUACCGGGCGAACAAGCCCCGGCUAACUCCGUG
rnacentral:rRNA from 1 species